CCCUACGGGGCGCAGCAGUAGGGAAUCUUCGGCAAUGGACGAAAGUCUGACCGAGCAACGCCGCGUGAGUGAAGAAGGUUUUCGGAUCGUAAAACUCUGUUGUUAGGGAAGAACAAGUGCUAGUUGAGUAAGCUGGCACCUUGACGGUACCUAACCAGAAAGCCACGGCUAACUACGUGCCAGCAGCCGCGGUAAUACGUAGGUGGCAAGCGUUGUCCGGAUUUAUUGGGCGUAAAGCGAGCGCAGGCGGUUUCUUAAGUCUGAUGUGAAAGCCCCCGGCUCAACCGGGGAGGGUCAUUGGAAAC
rnacentral:rRNA from 1 species